UACGUAGGGUGCGAGCGUUAAUCGGAAUUACUGGGCGUAAAGCGUGCGCAGGCGGCGCCGCAAGUCGCGUGUGAAAUCCCCGAGCUUAACUUGGGAAUUGCGCUCGAAACUACGGUGCUGGAGUGUGGCAGAGGGAGGUGGAAUUCCACGUGUAGCGGUGAAAUGCGUAGAGAUGUGGAGGAACACCGAUGGCGAAGGCAGCCGCCUGGGCCAACACUGACGCUCAUGCACGAAAGCGUGGGGAGCAAACAGG
rnacentral:rRNA from 1 species